UCCACAGGAAUUCUUAGUGGC
rnacentral:piRNA from 1 species